CCUACGGGUGGCAGCAGUGAGGAAUAUUGGUCAAUGGACGAGAGUCUGAACCAGCCAAGUAGCGUGAAGGAUGACUGCCCUAUGGGUUGUAAACUUCUUUUAUAUGGGAAUAAAAUGUUCCACGUGUGGGAUUUUGUAUGUACCAUAUGAAUAAGGAUCGGCUAACUCCGUGCCAGCAGCCGCGGUAAUACGGAGGAUCCGAGCGUUAUCCGGAUUUAUUGGGUUUAAAGGGAGCGUAGGUGGAUUGUUAAGUCAGUUGUGAAAGUUUGGGGCUCAACCGUAAAAUUGCAGUUGAAACUGGCAGUCUUGAGUACAGUAGAGGUGGGCGGAAUUCGUGGUGUAGCGGUGAAAUGCUUAGAUAUCACGAAGAACUCCGAUUGCGAAGGCAGUUCACUGGACUGCAACUGACACUGAGGCGCGAAAGUGUGGGUAUCAAACAGGAUUAGAUACCCUUGUAGUC
rnacentral:rRNA from 1 species